GAUUUUAACAAUCCGUGCCAGAACUAGGCAAUGUAUUGCAAUACCAGUCUCGACUACAAAAUUGACCCAAGGGUACCUCUCGUUGCUAUACACAAAACUGGAACUCUUCAUAGGAAAUGCAGCAGUUUUUAGUAAAGAUGGCUACUGCCACAUGUUGACAAUUAAUACUACCCAAUCCAACGUGGACAUUAAUAUUCCUUCACACGAGUUGAUCUUGUUCGAGAUUAUCAAUCGCUUCUGUUAGAAUGGCAUUGAAUUUGGCAGCGAUGAAUUUUCCGAGGGGAAUCCACACUUCAGAUGCUUCGAAUCAAAUAGUUAAACUCACUCGUCUGAGAGUUGUCGACAAUAGCGAAAUUGGAAAAAAAGCCAUGAGGAACAAUUAGCAUCAACGUUUCCAACAUUGGUGAUAUCUUUUACCUAAGCUGGAUUCGCUUUUCUUGCAUUAGGAGAUGAUUUGACUGAUAAGUAUUCUCAUCGAGCUGACUGAUUAAGUUUAAUUAAUUUUAAUAAUAAUGUCAGGUUAUGAG